UGCAUGCUUGACUAUAAGUCGCUAUGGAUAAAAGCAUCUGCUAAAUGGCAUAUA
rfam:Salmo salar isolate Sally breed double haploid chromosome ssa18, whole genome shotgun sequence.